rnacentral:lncRNA from 1 species
CUGACUUCUCUUCCUAUUUCUGUGUCUUUCCCUCAGAUCCUGAGCUCCAUCAUGGUCUACUGCCUGGCAACUUCAACCGUAUCCCUGAUUCUCUCCUUGCUGGCCAGCUUUGCCCCAGUGGCUCCCCUCCUGCAAAUAGGGCAAAAGGCAUGGAGAUGAGACCAGAGUGUCCGGCUCUGGGGGUUUGAUGGACCGAGACAGACAAGUGAGCGUACAAGCAAACAUUUUGAAAACGAGCGCAUGAGUCAAUGGUCAGGACUGGUGCACGUUGAUUGGGGUGGAUGUAACUGAAGGGUCACUAGUAGGAUUUCCACAGCCAGCUGGCUCAGGGCCUCUCUGGUCACCCUGGGAAAGCCUUACUUUUUGAAAGGUUCCAGUCCUCUCUCAGUGAAAACACACGGGUGUGACAACACCCAUGGUUCCCUGACCUCCACAGACUGAGGUCUGAGCCCAUUGAAAUCAGGUGUCUGAAGUCACGCAGAAUGGCUUUCAGUGGUGCUGUGAGCCGACCGUUUCAGGGUACUCCUUCCUCCGAUUUCACAGAUGUGUCGGUUGGAUUUUAUUCUUAAGUGGCCUAAGCCAAAAGCAUCUUCUCCCAGAAACAGCAGGUUCAUUUCAAUUCAAUAUUUCACUUUGGACAACUGCUUGCCUUCAUUUAGCGCCGCAUGCUGGGACUUGGUCUCCCCGGGCGUUCUGGCUUCCCUCCCGUUAGCGACGGUGGCAGCAGUGCAGACAGAUUGAGGCCCCAGGAAGGCGGACCCCCCAACUGCGCGGCAGCAGUGAGCUGGGAGCAGAGGCUGUGCACGCUAAUGGUUGUGAGUGCUGCUUUUCCAGCCAUGAGCUGUCUAUAUCGCAUUUGCGUGGAGACACAAAACAUCUAACUAUCAGACGAAGCCAGACGCAACACCCAGCACAGAGAGGACAGCGUCUUCUCCAGCUGUGUCUGGUGCCCGGGGUCACCGAGGGGAAAAAUGACAAUGCCUUGUGUGCUGGGUGGUGGGUG